CUCGCAGUUCACAGUUCAUACUAGAAACAAUACAGUCACGUUCAUAAUAAUAAUGUUGAUAAUUAUCAUCAAACAAAAAUCUAAGAGAAAUGUGGAGUUCAGCGUUUCAAUGUAUGAAACCAUUUUUGGUUUGAAA